AAAGCUUAAAUAGAACAUUAAUGAAACUCCUCCUUUUAUUGAAUUUUCUCAUUGGCUCGUCGGUCCUCUGACCUCUUGUCCGGAGCGAGCCUCAAGCCUGAUCCGAAGGCCGACGAGGCCGAGACAGCUCCGCUGCUGACCUGCCUCCCCUCCUUCCCUUCAGCCUGGUGGAGAUCAUCUCGCUGCCUUCCCUCAUUGAACGCUAGUGCCUCCCAGUGCACGCGAACAUUGGAAAGAUUUACUUGAGGCAUAGGAGCCUCGGUAUGGAUUGCGAUGAGCAGACAAGUGGGUGGCAUUGGAUGUCUUUUUGUGGCUGGAUGGCUGUGAAGAGGUGAUGCGUCGCAUGUGAACGGCUGUGGUCGCUAUAGAUGGAAUUGAAAGAAAGAUAAAAGAGGGUCAUGCGGAUAGAAUGCUUUGAGAUUCAUGCAAACGGAUGAAUAAUAAAUGAUAGAGCGAUUCAAGAUUUGAUAGGCAAAUGGAUGAUAAAGAAAUGGGCGUUUUAGAUUUUUGCAGACAGACGAAUGAUGGAGGAGUGCUUUAUUUUUUAUUUCUUAUUUUUUUCUUUCUUCUUUCUUUUCUUUAUUUUUUGUCUUUUUUUUAUUAUUUCUCAUUUAGUUCAUUUCUUUCUUCCCUCUUUAUUCUUCUUGGACACGUUUCAGUAUCCCCUUCAGUUCCAGUCUCGUCUUGUGGACGGCCUGGAUACCUCCAUCCGUCGGAAAUUGAAAUCUUUAUUGCAUCCACCUACUUUAAAGCCAAUUAAAAUUCUUGAUGUGCAAGAAUUUCUUUAGCUAAACCUGGGUGAUGAUGGUCAAUGUCAAUCCUACAGCCAGAAUAGAAAACAUAUACAAAUUACUAUCUAAUACGCAUGCACCAAACUGCACGUUAUAAUACGGGUUAUCUUUGCAUCUUAUUGUACUCUAGUACCUAAUAUAAUACGGGUUGUCA